GUGGCCAUGGUGUAAUGGUUAACACUAGAGUUUGUGGAACUCUCAAUUCGGGUUCAAUUCCCGAUGGCCACC
rnacentral:tRNA from 1 species